rnacentral:pre_miRNA from 1 species
GAGACACCCUUAUAAGGUAGGACUUGCUUCAGUGGGGCUUUGGUGCUCACUGAGUCUGCCCCUUGAGUGUGUCCCU